GCAUAUAUAUUGUUAACCCCUUCCGUAGGGUAAGGUUGGAUUUGCUGAGUACUUUGUACUCACCCUUGCUUUAUUAAACAGAGGAAGAUCCGGACUUCGAUCCCGAAGUGGCGUUCGAGUAAGGUCGUGUCUGCACCCAACUAAGCCUGUGGCAUUGGGACUCGUCAGAUGUUCGAUUGUGAUAUCGUUUAUUUCUGGGUCUUUGGACCUAUGUUGUAUUUUGGUGUCUUAUUAUUAUAGCGUGCCUUCCUUGUCCACGCUUACCGAGACUACUGCGAUAAAACUUAUCUGAUGUAAUAAAUGUGUUAUUAGCCUCUUGGAACUAGUAUUGUAUCACAUUUGAGUUCCUGGUUUACCAGGGGCGCUUCACUCUUUGACACGAGUAACUGGAUCCGCUCUUCUCCUCCUCACUCUCCAUCUCUCCUCGCUCCUCAUUCCCUUACUCUCUUUCUGUGAGGGCUCUAGAUCUAUACCUAGAUCUAGUGGCAGUCUACAUCUUUGUUCCUGCGUGCGGCACGAUGGGGCUAGAUCCGGCUCGGAACGAGCUCAUUGGUGGGCUCAGGAAUGGGCUCAUUGGUGGUCUCAAGAAUGGGCGCGCUCACCAUUGGGCUUGUUUUUUUGUUUUUUUUUAUCAAUUAACCGUAAUGGGCAUUCUAAGGAGCUCACCUCCGGUAAUAGAUUAAUGGAAGCGGGCAAAACAAAUGCCACAAUUAUAUCAUGGUUAACCGAGGCCAUUGGAGGCGGUUGCAAUGCCCGCCUCCAUUAACCCAUUUUGUCUGCCUCCAAUUAGUAUUAUGUAGUAGUGUCUGCGCACCCAGCCCUCCAGAGGUCGCCGGGAGCUUGCAUCAUCACGCUCCACUGCUUCACACAAUAGAGGUUCCAGGUACAGAAGAGAGAUUGAUUGGUUGAUUUUUAUCUGAACUCUAGACAGAAAAGAAUGAGAAUGUAUAUCGGGAAGAAUAGUUUCUUGGUGCACAAUAUCCUAGACCAU
rnacentral:lncRNA from 1 species